UACGUAGGUCCCGAGCGUUGUCCGGAUUUAUUGGGCGUAAAGCGAGCGCAGGUGGUUUAAUAAGUCUGAUGUAAAAGGCAGUGGCUCAACCAUUGUGUGCAUUGGAAACUGUUAGACUUGAGUGCAGGAGAGGAGAGUGGAAUUCCAUGUGUAGCGGUGAAAUGCGUAGAUAUAUGGAGGAACACCGGUGGCGAAAGCGGCUCUCUGGCCUGUAACUGACACUGAGGCUCGAAAGCGUGGGUAGCAAACAGG
rnacentral:rRNA from 1 species